AAGGGAUCAAUAAAAUUGUUAAAUCUCUGGCCAGACUAUGGAGAAAAUAAUAGGAAAUAAAUAAUUUACAAAUUUUAAGAAUGACAGAAGUGGCUGGGGUUGGUGGCUCAUGCCUGUGAUCCCAGCACUUUGGGAGGCCGAGGCAGGCGGAUCGUUUGAGGUCAGGAGUUCCAGACCAGCCUGGCCAACAUAGUGAAGCCCUGUCUCUACUAAAAAUACAAAAAUUAGCUGAGCGUGAUGGCGCAUGCCUGUAUUCCCAGCUACUCGGGAGGCUGAGGCACAAGAAUUGCUUGAAGCUGGGAGGUGGAAUUUGCAGUGAGUAGAGAUGAGGCCACUGCACUCAAGCCCGGGCGACAGAACGGGACUCUGUCUCAAAACAAAUAAACAACAAAAAAAGAAUGAUAGAAGUAACAUUUCCAUUGUCCUACAACAGUUUAAGGAUAACUAAAUGAAUACCAUGAUGAAAUUUAUAAAUGUAAAUUAGUUAAUUUAGAUUAAGUGUAUAAAUCCCUCAAAAGAUACAAACUAAGGCAAACUCAAAAAGAAAGCAAUAAAAUGCACAUCCCUAUAUAUCUGUUUUAAAUUUAUUAAUACCCACCUAGAUAAACGAACUGACAAAUUUUACUAAUAUUUAAGGAGAUAUAAUUUAUACAUUACACAAAAGUUUAAGAAAUAAAAAAGAGGAAACACUUUUCUUUUUUUUUUUAAUAAGAGGUUGCUUUGUACUUUUUUUUUUAUUAUACUUUAAGUUUUAGGGUACAUGUGCACAUUGUGCAGGUUAGUUACAUAUGUAUACAUGUGCCAUGCUGGUGCGCUGCACCCACUAACUCGUCAUCUAGAAUUAGGUUUAUCUCCCAAUGCUAUCCCUCCCCACUCCCCCCACCCCACAACAGUCCCCAGAGUGUGAUAUUCCCCUUCCUGUGUCCAUGUGAUCUCAUUGUUCAAUUCCCACCUAUGAGUGAGAAUAUGCGGUGUUUGGUUUUUUGUUCUUGCGAUAGUUUACUGAGAAUGAUGAUUUCUAAUUUCAUCCAUGUUCCUACAAAGGACAUGAACUCAUCAUUUUUUAUGGCUGCAUAGUAUUCCAUGGUGUAUAUGUGUCACAUUUUCUUAAUCCAGUCUAUCAUUGUUGGACAUUUGGGUUGGUUCCAAGUCUUUGCUAUUGUGAAUAAUGCCGCAAUAAACAUACAUGUGCAUGUGUCUUUAUAGCAGCAUGAUUUAUAGUCCUUUGGGUAUAUACCCAGUAAUGGGAUGGCUGGGUCAAAUGGCAUUUCCAGUUCUAGAUCCCUGAGGAAUCGCCACACUGACUUCCACAAUGGUUGAACUAGUUUACAGUCCCACCAACAGUGUAAAAGUGUUCCUAUUUCUCCACAUCCUCUCCAGCACCUGUUGUUUCCUGACUUUUUAAUGAUCGCCAUUCUAACUGGUGUGAGAUGGUAUCUCAUUGUGGUUUUGAUUUGCAUUUCUCUGAUGGCCAGUGAUGAUGAGCAUUUGGUACAAGGAGGAACUGGUACCAUUCCUUCUGAAACUAUUCCAAUCAAUAGAAAAAGAGGGAAUCCUCCCUAACUCUUUUUAUGAGGCCAGCAUCAUUCUGAUACCAAAGCUGGGCAGAGACCCAACAAAAAAAGAGAAUUUUAGACCAAUAUCCUUGAUGAACAUUGAUGCAAAAAUCCUCAAUAAAAUACUGGCAAAACGAAUCCAGCAGCACAUCAGAAAGCUUAUUCACCAUGAUCAAGUGGGCUUCAUCCCUGGGAUGCAAGGCUGGUUCAAUAUACACAAAGCAAUAAAUGUAAUCCAGCAUAUAAACAGAGCCAAAGACAAAAACCACAUGAUUAUCUCAAUAGAUGCAGAAAAAGCCUUUGACAAAAUUCAACAACCCUUCAUGCUAAAAACUCUCAAUAAAUUAGGUAUUGAUGGGACGUAUUUCAAAAUAAUAAGAGGAAACACUUUUCAACAUGUUUUAUGAGUCUACCGUUAUCCCCAUACCAAAACCAUAAAACAGACAUUACAAGAAAAUGUCCUGUAGACAAAUAUGUAUUUUGAUGAUGAAUUUAGAUUUCAAAAACUUCAGCAAAAUAUUAUCCAAUUAAAUCCUCUCAUGUCUGUGUGUGUGUGUGUGUGCAUGCACGUGUGUUUGUAAAAUAUAUCAUUACUAAUUGGCGUUUAUCUUGGGAGUUCAAGAUGGUUUCCAUAUUCAAUCAACCCAUCAAUGUGGACUAUGGUCACUUGAAAAGACCAGCAAAUCCUCUGCACAAAAGGCCACUAGAAAUUCAUUAAAGCAGCCUUCCAUCAUUCUCGAAAUUGACCAAAGCAUUCAACUACCUGAGAAAUAUUUAUGUUUGGAAAGCUAUUGAAAUGCAAUUAAAAAUAUCAGGAAACCUGUUUUUACCUUUUGUCCUAAUCUUGCUAAAUCCUUCUUAAUUUUAGGAGACACUGCUUCUCCUUCCACUGUUCUUUUACUUUCUCCUUCCCCUUUGUUUUUGCCUCCCCCUUCCUCUCCCUUUUCUACAUUCCUUCUCUCUCCUAAAUGCUGUAUAAAUUUCUACAUAUGUAAUCAUAUUAUUUACAAAUAGGAACAGUUUUACUUAUUUCUUUCCAGUCUGCAUUUAUUUUAUUCUUCCUUUUUUUCCUUACACACUGGAUAGAACUCUAAGUAUUAUGUUGAAAAAGAGUGAUAAAAGCAAACAUCUUUGCUUUAUUCCUGAGCAUACAUGUGGAAAACAUUCAGUGUUUCACAGCUAAAUAUGAUGGAUUUUUUGUAUGCUCUUUAUCAAGAUGAAGGAAUUUUCUGCUAUUUCUGGUUUGCUGAAUUUUUAUCACAAGUAACUGUUGAAUAGUGUCUUUUUCCCCUGCAUUUAUUGAACUGAUCAUGCAUUCUCCUAUUUUAGAAUAUUAAUAUGAUGAACUAUAUUAUUAGAUUUUUUAAAAUAUUGCAACUGUCUUGCAUUUCUGGAAUAAACAUGGCUUGGUCAUGUGUCACUUUUUUACAUAGUGUCGUAUUCAAGUUGUCGAGGAUUUUGCAUCUAGGGUAUAUUUGUAGAUUUGCAUCUAGGUUAUGUUGGUCUAAAGUUUUGUUUGUUUGUUUUCCUUUUCUUUUUUUUUAUCAUCUUUGUCUUCUUCUGUUUAAGUGUCAUGCUUGCUUCAUAAAAUGAAUUGAGAAGCAUUUCUUCCUCUUCUGUUUCUCGAAAAUUGUAGAGAACUCUUGUUUUUUGUUGUUGUUUGUUUGUUGUUUUGUUUUUUCUUAUUUUUAUCCUCAUACUGAGAACCAAACAGUCUGGAGUGUAAAACAUGGUUCCUCAUUCCAGUUAAAUCUAGUAUACAAUGACAACAACCCUCUUGGGUUAAGCAUUGGCCUACAAACAGAAAAAAACCUUCAGGGAGAUAGAUGCUGAUCUAGGCAUUGUGAGAAAAGCUGAAUUCAUUUUUAAUCAUGAAUGGCUUUUAAGGAAAGAAGAUUUAUUAACUAAAAUAAAUAGAUUAGAGGGAAUUCUCACCUAUGAGAGAGGAAGGGAUGGGAUUCAACCUGGAAAAAGUAAUGAAGUUUUAGUGAACUUGGUAAGGUAGACUCAACAAUUAAUGAUGGAUAAUGCUAGGACCCAACACUGGUAAUGAGUUUGUAUUAUGACUCAAUAGCAUCACUUUAUCACUUUAACACAGAUGGAGGCCUAAAUAACCAUAGGGUAAUGGUUCUUCUUAGAUGCAGAAGGACACAUUUAUAUAAUCUUAGGGACCCCAUCUCUGAGGUCACUCAUAAUUUAUAUUAAUUCAUUGUUAUUGCCAUUGCCCCAAGAAUAGAUAAGGAUAAGACAUCCUGUAGUACAGGUAGCAGAGAUAUAAACUAUUCUUAUUCUUGUGUCUUGUCUAUAGGAAGGGAGUGUAUCCUGGUGUAAGACAGCAUAUAGUAGAGACCAUUGUCAAUUAGGGCCUGUGAACUAAGACAGGGUGACUGGCUAAGUCCACAACCCAUUAGAAACCCAGAAAUAAUCAAAUCAUGGUGAGUAGUAAUAACACUUAUUUAUAAUACUAUACGGUAUAAAGACAAGAACCAAUUAUGUUGAGUAGCUGUAACAAAUAGCUCUAUCAUUCGUAAUAACUUUUUCUGUAAUAAAACUGAAUUGUAACAUGAUCAUACUGCAAUAUGACAUUACACUAGCAUUGUUGGUAAGAUUCAACUAUCUUAUGUAGAGAAGUUAUAUAAUGCUUAUAUUGAUAAUCAAAUGUAUUAAGAUAUUGAGUUAAAGCCUCUUCAGAAUGUAAUCUGGGUGAAUAAUAAAUGGCCUGAGAAAACAGAAUUCAGCUAACCAUUAUCUAAUUUCAAUGCUAAAUAGUUCUGCACAGAUUUAUCAAAAAGUAAAAAUAAAAGCAGAUUGAGAGGAGGAAUGAAUAAUUUUGUUUGUACAAAAUAUUAAAGUGUAUGUAAUGGGCUUGUAGGAUGCAUUAGUAAUUUUUAAAAAUCAAUCUUUACCCUACACUGUGUCCAUAAAAUGCUAGGCAUAUUCAUGUUAAUAUUACUGUUGUUACUGUCAUAUAAAUGCCAUAUUCAAUGUAGAUGCUCAGAAAAAUAUGAUUGUUUUGCUACAGGAGAGAUUAGACCAGGGACAAUAAAUAUGGAUUAGGCAAGAAUGUGUUAACUCAGCAGCCCAGGGUUUUUUCAACCCUGCACAUUCAAAGGUAAGGUUUGUUUUUAGGACUAGCUAGCCUCUGAGUUCUGGAAAUAGUCUUACCGUGAAGAGUGUUUUUGUAUAUCUGAGGCCUUGGGUUUAUGGUGAAUGACUGACUUAUAUGCCUGAGGCCCUGAGCCAUGCUGUAUUUAUUUGAACCAUGUGGUAUCAAUUUAACCAGAUACGUUUAUUCUAAGAUAUGAUUUAUGCUGAAUGCCUGGUUUUGUUCUAGAGGGAUCAUGGAAAGGAAGCUGAAUUUGCCAAGUUUUGCCACUUGGGCAUUGCAUGCCUAUGUGAUUAACCACCAAUAAAAACCUGGGACAUCAAAGAAUAAAUAAGCUGCUCUAAUUGCCAAGAAUUCACAUGUGGUUGUAUGCAGCUUUACUGGGAGACUGAAGUGUAUCUGCAUGUGAUUCUGCUGUGAUGGACACUUGAUCUUGAGAUGACGUCAUACUGGAUGAUCCUAGUGCACCCUAAAUCCAAUAAGUGUUCUUAUGAAAGACAGAAGAGGAGAAGAUACAGGAAAUAGAAGAAGGCUACUUGAGGAUGGAAGCAGAGAUUGGAGUUAUGCAGCUACAAACCAAAGAAUGCCUUGAGCCACCAGCAGCUGAAAGAGCUAGUCAGCAAUACAACUGGGAUUUGAUAUCAGAUUCAUACGAUUCCGAAGACCCUGACCACCAAAUGCAAAAGGUACAUGGCAACAGCUGAUUGCAAUGAGAGAAAAACAACUAAUAAGGCAACAAGCAGGAUACUAAGAUAUUUUCCAAAAUGAAUAGCACUGAUUCUGUGAGGAAUGAACAUUGCCAAACAAGUGUUUUGUUUUGUUUUUCAACUCCUCUAAAAAAAUUCACAUAUAUGCAUGCCACUUUCCUGAAAAAUAUCUGCCUCAUAAUUGCCAUAAGAAACGGUAUGGACAACUCUUAAACAUUCUGAAAGUAGUCAGGGAUGGGGGAAAGCAUUUGCUGUUUUAGUCUGUUCCUGGUCUUAUAACAAAUACCACAAACUGGGUAAUUUAUGAUUACAGAAAUGUAUUUCUGAAAGUUCAGGAGUUGGGAAGUUCAAGAUUAUGGCACCAACAUAUUCAUUGUCUGAUGAGGGCCUGUUUCACAGAUGUCAUUUUGCAUGACUUAAUCACAUGGUAGGAAAAGCAAAGGGACAAAAUGGACAAAUGCCAUGUUGUCACAUGGCAGAAGAAAUGGAAGAGCCAGGAAGCUCUCAGAAGCUUCCUUAAUUAGGAUAUUAAUCUCAUUCAUGAGUGCAUAGCCAUCAUGACUUAAUUGCCUCCAAAGGCCCCACUUCCUCAUCACUUUGAGGAUUAAACUUAAACAUGAAUUUGGAGGAAAUAUAUCCAAACUCUAGGACUAGUUUAAAUGUAGCUAAAAAGGUUUCUUCAUUCUGUAAUCGUUAAUAUGCUAAUAUUUUUGUAAAUAUCCAAGAGGAAGCUAAAGCAUAUAAUAUUCCAAAAUUUAUUUCUGUUUGUGGAUAUUAUGUUUUCCUCUCAUUCUAUCUUAAGAAAUUAGUGUCCUCAAGAAACACUAUAUAGGAUAAUUGUCUUUCAAGUUCAUCAACUACCAGUUCUUGAUUCUUCAGUAGCUAAUCCUAGAUAGUAAUACUUAACAGAUUAUAAAAACUUGGGUGCUGCUAUAUAAAUGCGCUGAAACUCCCAGGGAACCAAACAUAAGGACUUAAAGAGAGAUGUAACUAGGGAUCAUAAUCAUGAAUUUCAGCUGCUUCUCUAUCUUUGUCAGUGAGCAAAUGACCAUACAAAAUAAGGUAUUCAAUUAUUAAUUCUGUGCCCAUAUCCCGGAAUUUUGCCCAAUAUAUUUGUAAGUUUAGAUAAAUAAGGCACUAAUGCCAGGGAUAUGUAGCAUUAGUUCUGGGUUUAUAAAGGGAUAUUCACAACCUCUUGCCAUCCACAGAAUUUAUCAGCCCAAAGUAAACUAUACUCGUUGGUUAAGGGCAACCUGAGACAUGUUUAAAACUGAGGUGGACUGAAGAGUCAACUAAUUGCAGGAAUCUUUUAUUUGGUUGAAAUGUUCAAACAAGUCCCACUCUGAAUUCUAUUAGAAGUCCAUCAUUGGCUUCUCUCUCUUUCUCACUGUCUUAAAUCAUGUAUUUUAUAACACUAUGAAGAAUGAAGUUCAAAAGAAUAAGCUAAAUUUAAUUAAUUAAAUUAUUUAUUUAUUUAUUUUGAGACAGAGUCUCACUCUGUCACCCAGGCCAGAGUUCAGUUGCACGAUCUUGGCUCAGUGCAUCCUUCACCUCCUGGGCUCAAGAGAUCCUCCUGAAGCAGGGCAUUUCCCUGACCCCUUCAUGGGACUCGUGACAGGGGUGCCCCAUUUACUCAGCCCACUGCUCUCAACUCCUCAAGGGAGGGAGUGCGCAAUUGAACAAGGCAGGAACUGGAGUACACGAGUGCUGGAACCAGUGGCCUCUUUGGUGCCAGAAGGAGUGAACUCACCCACUCUGACCUGCUGUGUUCCACCUCUUGCAGGAGAGAGCAUGCAGGUGAGCAGGUACAGGAGCCAGGAAGAGAGCUUUGGGGUGUUGGCAGGAGCAAACUCCAUGUGGGCCCCAUAGCAGCCCCUGGGGUUAGGGGGGUGCCUGUGAUUCCUGAAGCCCCAGUGGGCAUAUUACAGUGCUCCUUUAGCUCUGCCGUCUUCAGACAGCUGAAGUGUUAGCAGCUCAGCAUGCCUUUUUGUAUCCACACUCACUCCUGAGCUCUUGUUUGGCAUCCAGGAAAAAAUCAGCUCACAGAAACGAAUUGAAGGAUGGUAAAUGCAGAGGAUUUUAUUGCCAAGGAAAGUGGCUCUCAGCAGGAAGGGCAGCUGGGAAGGAGAUGUAGCAGGAAGGUUUCUGGCUGGACUCUUCUCCAAAGUUGCACUGUCAAGCUGUCUCUCUGAAAUCAAGCUGCUUCUCUCCAACGUCCAACCGUAGUCUCUGAUGCCCAGCUGCUGCUUCUCUUUUGAUGUUCAGCUGCUUCUCUUUUUUGCUAGCUGAGUCUGGGGUUUUUAUGGGCACAGGAUGGGGGACAGGGGAGGUCAUGGGUAAUUUUGUAAAAGGCAACAUUUGAGUGGGAAAACAGGAAUGUAUGUUCUCACUUUGGGCUUUGGUUCCAGGCUUGAGGGUGGAGCCGUUGCCAGGGACCUGCCCUCUUUUGCCCAGAAUUUCCCUGCCUCCCUUCCCUUUCACUCCCACCCCAUCACUCCCACCUCAACAUCCUGAGUAGCUGGGAUUAUAGGCGCACACCACCGCAUCUGAUUAAUAUUUAAAUUUUUUGUAGAGACAGGGUUUUGUCAUGUUGCCCAGGCCGGUCUCAAACCCUGGGCUCAAGUGAUUUGCCCACCUCAGCCUCCCAAAGUUCUGGGAUUACAGGUGUGAGCCAGUGUGCCUGGCCCUAAAUAAUAUUUAUAUGGGCAUUUUGUAAUUAUUAUUUUUUAAUAAUAUAAAUGUUUCCUUUUUAAUAUGAAUUUUUCAAGAGUUUUAUAAUUGACUGAUUAUUCAUUAAAAUUUAAUGAAGGACAGGAAUUGGCUAUUUUUCUGAAUGACAAAAAUUAGGAAAUUUUUAGAGAGAUGAUGAAUUUAUCCUAGAAUAUAUGGAAAGAGUAAAUCUUGUUAUAUAGAACAAGCAACUUUCCAAUCCGAAGGAUCUUAGAAUAAUAAAAAUUUUUUUUCUUAUAAUUGUUUUCUUAUAAUUGUUUCAAAGUAAUACUUUAGACCAAAAAUUGUAUAUCUCAGUAGGUGGCCUAUAUGAUAAUUAAAAAAUUAAAAGCUAAGUUAAUUAAAUUUUUAAUUAAUUUAAUUUUUAUUAAUUUUAAUUAUCAAUCUUCAUUGAAGAAUUUUGUCCAAAAAAUGUGGACAAUAUGUGUCAUAAGGAUUAAUCACCAUAAAAUAGUCCCCAAAGGAAAUUAAAGGACUGAUUAGAUAGUACUAAAAUAACAAUCAUACAAAGUAGAAAGUGGUGUUAUAAGAGAAAUGUAGAUAAAAUAUUGUAAGAAACUAAAGUAGGAAGAUAAUGUUUUGAGUUGUGGGAGAUCAGGGAAGGUUUUUUGGAAAAAGUAACGUUUAAGCUAGAUCUUAGAGAGACAUGACUUAAUAGAAAAGUAGGCAAAAAAAUAUGAAUAACCCUUUCAGAUUACAGGCAAUACAAAUUAUGAUAAAUAUAAAAAAAUUCUUACUUCACUAGUAAUCAAGUAAUUGAAUUAAACAAUUGGAUACCAUUUUUUCUUCAGCAGACUGGCAAAACAUAAGAUGUUAACAAGGGUUUUGAGGGUACAGGGAAGAGGGUAGGCUCAAACUAUGCUGGUAUCAAUGUAUAACCAAGAUCUCCUUUGGAGUACAAUUGUUAUAUAGUCUACAUUCUGUAAAAACUAAACACAUAUGUUUGCCUUUCCACUUUUGGAAAUACAUGGUAGAUAAUCAUGCAAGAAUGUCAAUUGCAGUAUUGUGUUGUAAUUUUUAAAAAUACUCUAGAUAUUCAUCAAUAUAUAACUACAAAUAAAAAUAGUUGGACUAUCAUGCAGACUACAAUGCCUCUAUUGUGGCAUAAUAGUUAAUAAUACAAUCUCUGAGAGCAGAAUAUCUGGAUUUGAAUAAUUUGCUCUCCCUCUAAAUGACCUUGAGCAAAGUACUUACAAUCUUUUUCUCUCUUCCAUAAAAUGGAGAUAACAGCAUUGCCAAUUUAUUAGCUUGUCAUGAUGAUUAAAUGAGAUAAUCCAUAUAUCACACCAAGUACCCACUACGUAAUAAGCAACUAAUUAAAUUUGACUAAUAUUAAUAAUUUCAUUAUUAUUCAUCUUAAUAUCAUGGCAUGACUUCUAAGGUAUAUUAUUAAAUAGAAAAAGAUAAGUUUUAAACUGAGCCAUAGUUUAGAACUUGACUUAAAGCAGACUCACAAAGCAAAUGCUCAUAUCUAGGACAGGUAAAUCUACACGUGUUUAUACACACAUUCACUGUAUUUGGGGAAAAUACACACCAAACUGGAAACACUGGUUGUCUCUGAAGAAGAGACAGGGCUUUGGCAAUAUUCAAAUUAGGCUUUAACUGUUUCUGAAAGUUUCAGUUCUCUAUAAGGAGAAGGUAUUACUUAUGUAAUUUUUAAAAAUUACAUAUUAAGUACUAAAUGACUGAAGCUUCUUAGAAUUGAUGGGUGCAGGCAUCACAUGGGCAGCAAGGCAUUCACAUAAUGGAGAAUCAUGGUCUCCUGUAGAUGUCUAGGAGUGAUAAAAUUAACUACCUUUUAGGUGGUGUAGUUUCCUGGUUGAGCUGAUAAUUAUUAAGUUAAUGAUUAGUAGGUUAUUUCUCAACACCGAAGAGAUUAUUAGUGUUUCAAAGUUUUCACUGUAAUUCAUCUGUAAAACCAUUCAACCUACCUCCAGUACACCUCAGUAAUCUGGUGACAAGAGAGUAUUCUUGCUCACUUUAUUUACUCUUCAGUGAUCUAAUGCCAAUAAUGCCAGCCUAUAGAAACAACAGCCAAUUAUAACAAAAAGCACAUUAGAAAGUCAAAUAUAGCUGGGUAAUAGACAUAAAAAUACCUUAUUAACAUUUUUAUAACACUCUGAACUGAAAUAAACAGACCACUCUCGAUUUUAGCAUCUGGUUCCAAACAAUUCUUGUUUGGGUGAUAACUUUUUAAAAACAAAUGUUGGGCAUCUUUCAUCGACUUUUCAUCAAGUAACAGCUGUUCCUUUAGAGCAAAAUGUAUGCAUGUUGGAAGUGUGACUGAUGCUCACUUCUGUUUUGUUCUGUGUGAGAAAGCUUUAUGUUGGGUGCAAUUCAGAAAACAAAUGGUUUCAAAUCUUUUGAAUAGAUGCCAUAGCACAGUUUAAAUGCAGCUUCUUGUGAUUUUUAGAAUAAUUUCAGCCACAAUUUUUACAUUCAAUUUAUAACUAUACUAAGACAUUCUCCUUCAGAACAAAGGCAUUUCUGUUUUCAUGUGCUCUUGGGCAUCUUCGGGUCAUUCAUUAUAUCAAUCAUUUAUCUUCGUAAAGCGUUUGGCUAUGAACAAUUACUUACUACACCAAAGCAUGAAAGAAAUAGAUAUAGCUCAUCUGCUCUUGAAUGCAUUUCUACAGAUUCCCUUAGGAUAAUUCCUGUUUCAACUUAAGCUAUUAAAUUUUUUGCUGCAUUCAAAUCACCUCAUCUGCUGAAACAUGUGGAGACAAAUAACCACAGACGUUUGCAUGAAGGUUCAGGUGUAUUUAAGGGCAGCUUAAUUAUAAGACACUAUGAAAUUCUCCUAAUUAAUUUGGAGCUAAAUAUUCUACAUCAAAUAUUUUACAAAACUUAAAGAAAUAUUUACUUUUCACAUGAUUACGAUUUUGAUACUAGGUUAAAAAUGACUUAUACUGGCAUUUUUUAAACAGUUUAAGACAAAUAAUGUUUUUGAUACUGUUUAUUAUAACAUAUGAAAAGUCUUUAUGCAGAUAUACUCUAUUUUAUCGUCUGUUCAUUUCAUGUUGCAUUUGCAUGCACUCCUGAAUUACUUGUUACUAAAACAUACAGAACAGACAGAAAGUUAAAAUUGGUUAAUUUCUAUCUAAUCUGGAUAAGAUAAACACAAUGAGUGAAAUAAAUAAUUAUGUCAAAUAACAAAAACCUCAUGCAUAGAAACUUCAACAUUUCUGAAUAACAAAAAGUAUAACAUUAUGUAGGGCAAUGUUCCACUUUUGUAUCAACUAGAAAUAAGCCCUGAAUCUGAAUGAUGAAAUUUUAAUAGUAACUGUUGACCACAGGGCAGAGUUUACUCUCUUGGUCAGAUGCUUUUGUGAAUGACACAAACUGUGUGUCCAGAUCACUUUUCCCUAUAAUCACUUCAAAUUACUUGACUUUUUGAUCUCUUCCUUUUUUCUGUCUCUUUUUUGUCCACAACAGAUAUUCCAAAUAUCCACCGAGUUUUCAAAUACUCCAGUCCAUAUUUGGUCUUCCCAUUCCUAGCAGAAGUACUUUGUCUUCUACUUCCCAGAAUAAUGUUAAUUCUCUUAUUUUAGACUUGCUUGCUUUAAUUUGUAUUUAUUCUUGGCUUUUUUUCUUUCCAUCUCACAGGAUAAGAGGGCAUCUCUUCUUCCAUAUUCAUAAAUACGUUGCCAACAGGAAUUUGUUGUUAUUUACACUUUCUUCUCCUAGACAUUUUAAUUUUACUUACCUUCCCUGAGCACAUGGCAAAGUCAAAACACAAGCAGAAUCUUACUUAUGAAUAGAGGCAGAUUUAUUAAGCCAGGGGUAGGCAAACUAUAGCCAAUGAGCCAAAGCCAGGCUGCCACGGGUUUUUAUAAAUAAAAUUUUAUAGGAACUCAGCCACAGACAUUCCUUUACAUAUUGCCUACAGCUGCUUAAGCACUACAAAGGCAAAGUUGCAUAUUUACAACACAAAUAAUAUGGCCUGCAAGCCUAAAGUAUCUACUAUCGUGCCCUUUAUAGAAAAUGUUUAUCAGCUUUUGUUCUCUUAUCCUAAGUUAUGAGGCUUACAUUUCCGGCCACCUCAUUUGCAUUUGAGUUUCCAGUUUUGAGUUUGUAGUUUUGCAUUCUUGCUUAAAGAGCCCCAAACCCUGACCGCCAAAUUGAAUGUGCUGUAGAUCCCACAAAAUAUGGAUCCAAUCAAGCUGAUGCCAUGUCAUUAUCUGUAGCUUUUAUUCUUUGCCAUCACACACCUUCCUUGAACAGUUAGGCUUCUGCAAAAAAUCUUAAAUAAUCACUGAUAUGGGUUGGUUCUGUGUCUUCACCCAAAUCUCAUCUUGUAGCUCCCAUAAUUUCCACGUGUUAUGGGAAGGAUCCAGUGGGAGAUGUCUGAAUCAUGAGGGCACGUAUGUCCCAUGCUGUUCCCAUGAUAGUGAAUGGAUCUCACGAGAUCUGAUGGUGUUAAAAAUGGGAGUUUCUCCACACAAUCUCUUUUUUGCCUGCUGCCAUCCAUGUAAGAUGUAGCUUACUCCUUGCCUUCCACCACGAUUAUGAUGCCUCUCCAGCCAUGUGGAACUGUAAGUCCAACAAACCACUUUCUUUCGUAAAUUGCCCAGUUGCAGGUAUGUUUUUAUCAGCAGCAUGAAAAUGAACUAAUACAGUAAAUUGUUACCAGUAGAGUGGGGUGCUGGUGGAAACAUAUCCAAAAAUAUGGAAACGACAUUGGAACUGUGUAACAAGCAGAGGUUGGAACAGUUUGGAGGACUCAGAAGAAGACAGGAAAAUGUGGCCAAGUUUGGAACUUCCUAGAGACUUGCUGAAUGGCUUUGAACAAAAUGCUGACAGUGAUAUGGACAAUGAAAUCCAGGCUGAAGUGGUCUCAGCUGGUGAUAAGGAACUUGUUGGGAACCGGAGUAAAGGUGAAUCUUGCUACAUUUUAGCAAAGACACUGGUGGCAUUUUGCCUGGCCCUAUAGAUUUGUAGAACUUUGAACUUGAGAGAGAUGAUUUAGGGUAUCUGGCAGAAGAAAUUUCUAAGCAGGAAAGCACUUAAAAUGUGAAUUCGGUGCUGUUGAGGGCGUUCAGUUUUAUAAGGGAAGCAGAGCAUAAAAAUUUGGAAAAUUUGCAGCCUGACAAUGCAAUAGAAAAGAAAAUCCCAUUUUCUGAGGAGAAAUCCAAGCCAGCUAUGGACAUUUGCAUAAGAUAAUGGGGAAAAUGUCUCCAGGACAUGUCAAAGGUCUUUACCUCAGCCUCUCCCAUCACAGGCACAGAGACCUAGGAGGAAGAAGUGGUUUUGUGGGCUGGGCCCAGGGUUCCUUUGCUGUGUGCAGCCUAGGGACUUCAUCCCCUGCAUCACAGCAACUCUAGCUAUGGCUGAAAGGGGACAACAUAGAGCUCAGGCUAUGGCUUCAGAGGGUGCAAGCCCCAAGCUUUGGCAUCUCCCAUGUGGUGUUGAGCCUACAAGUGCACAGAAGUCAAGAAUUGAGGUUUGGGAACCUCUGCCUAGAUUUCAGAAGAUGUAUGGAAACGCCUGAAUGCCGAGGCAGGAGUUUGCCACAUAGGUGGGGUCCUCAUGGAGAACCUCUGCUAGGGCAGUGCAGAAGGAAAAUGUGGGGAGGGAGCCCCCACACAGAAUCCCUACUGGGGCACCACCUAGUGGAGCUGUGAGAAGAGGGCCACCGUCUUCCAGACCCCAGAAGUGUAGAUCCACUGACAGCUUGCACUGUGUGCGUGGAAAAGCUGCAGACACUUAACACCAGCCCAUGAAGGCAGCCAGGAGGGAGACUGUACCCUGCAGAGCCAGAGGGGUGGAACUGCCCAAGACCAUGGGUAUCCACCUCUUGCCUCAGCGUGACCUAGAUGUGAGACAUGGAGUCAAAGGAGCUUUAGAUUUGACUGCCCUUCUGGAUUUCAGAAUUGCAUGGGGCUUGUAGCCUCUUUGUUUUGGCCAAUUUCUCCCAUUUGCAAUGGCUGCGUUUACCCAAUCCCUGUACCCCUAUAACCCCAUUGUAUCUAGGAAGUAACUAACUUGAUUUUGAUUUUGCAGGGUCAUAGGUGGAAGGGACUUGCCUUGUCUCAGAUGAAACUUUGGACUGUGGACUUUUGAGUUAAUGCUAAAAAGAGUUGACAUUUUGGGGGACUGUUGGGAAGGCAUGACUGGUUUUGAAACAUGCAGAUAUGAGAUUUGGGAGGGGCUGGAGUGAAAUGAUAUGGUUUGGCUCUGUGUCCCCAUCCAAAUCUCAUCUUCUAGCUCCCAUAAUUUCUGUAUGUAGUGGGAGGGACCUGAUGGGAGAAGACUGAAUCAUGGGGGCAGGUCUUUCCCAUGCUGUUCUCAUAAUAGUGAAUGGGUCUCACAAGAUCUAGUGGUGUUAAAAACAGGAUUUUCUCUGCACAAGCUCUUUUUUUGCCUGCUGCCACCCACAUAAGAUGUGUCUUGCUCCUUUUUGCCAUGAUUGUGAGUCCUCCCCAGCCAUGUGGAACUGUAUGUCCAAUAAACCUUUUUCUUUUGUAA